rnacentral:tRNA from 1 species
GACCUUGAAGCUCAAUCAGACGAGCGCGAGCGUGCGAAGCUCGAGGGUGCAGGUGCGAAUCCUGUCGAGGUCUCCA